GGGGUCAAGGAAUGAGCUUGUGAGGCUGAGGUGUGGGACUGGUGCCAUGUAUGUAGCUGGUCAGGCAGUGUUGACAUCCGGAACCACAUGUACUGCUAUUCCUAUAUAUCAUUUAGGAUGUUCAUUGGUGUGUGUAAGUGGAGAGUCAGUAGAAAAGGCCUGGGGUUCAUACCCUACUCUACCCCUCCUGUUGCCAUGGGAUGCAAUAAGAACACAGUAAUAGAAACCUCCUAAAUAUAAUAAUAACACAUAAAGUGACCUUCAUUAGGGAAACAGAACAAUCCAUGACCACAUUCAGAAUGUCUUUUUUAUGAUUUUUUAAGAGUUUGGGAUUAUGAUGAUUCCAUGUUUAUUAGUGUUUUAAUUUUUUCCUCUGUCCCCAUUGAACUGAGGAGACUCUUUUGUAGCAUGAUGAAAGGGUUAACGCUAGGGUUGAUCCAGGAACUCUCUCUCAGUAUAGGGCCUUUUAAAGAAACUACAUCUCCCAGUAUAGGGCCUUUUAAAGAAACUACAACUCCCCUCUCCAUGCUAACCAUCUCUUUACAUGAUUGGAGGGGAGUAGUGUGUGUGAGACCCAUCUAUCCCAGUCUUAACUUCAGGCUUAUAGUUACUCCAUUUUAAAAUGUGCUGUAUCUGGGGGGCUGAUGAGAUCCCCAUCCUGAAGCAUAACGUCUGUACAAGCUGGCUGGUAGUUCCCAUCUACAUAUCCCUAAUGAGAGAGCCCCCCUGAACUAACACAGACAGGACUGAAGUAGAUUCUCUCAGACAGGAGUUGUUGACUGAAGUAGAUUCUCUCAGACUCAACUCAAUAGUCUUUUUCACAGGUGGUUUAGCUCUGAGAGGGAAUGCAGGGCGAACGGAAGGAGGUAUGUCCUGUUGGCUCUCUGUGUCACACAUGAUAUUGUUUUCACGGUUGUGAGGUAGGUUGGUGUUUGUCCUGCGUGGACCCAGAGAAGGACAGGUCUCGGUGGGGCAAGGAGAGGACUGGACGUGGGCUGGGCUUGGAGGUAGGCUGCAUGGUGGGGCAAGGAGAGGACUGGACGUGGGCUGGGCUUGGAGGUAGGCUGCAUGGUGGGGCAAGGAGAGGACUGGACGUGGGCUGGGCUUGGAGGUAGGCUGCAUGGUGGAUGGUGGGGCAAGGAGAGGACUGGACGUGGGCUGGGCUUGGAGGUAGGCUGCAUGGUGGAUGGUAUGAUGGAUGAAAAGUAAUGCCUUGGAUCUCCAGCAACACAACGCUGUCUGUCCUGAGGGCUUGUGAAGCUUUCAAACCUAUGAUCUAUUAGUAACAUAAAGCCUUUUAUAAUCAUGAUGUUGACAGCGUUUAGGGGCCUCGAUCUCUCUACUUCUGAGUCUUUUCAAUAGUGUGAUUGAAAACAAAAAUGUACAUUAUUAUUCUAUUUAAAAAAAAAACAAGAAAAAAGAAAUGAAAAAAGACAAGUGUUCUGUAUGGACCUGUAUUUACCCAUCAGUUUCUGAUGUUGAAACACUGUGAUUAUUAUAAAUGUUGUUGGACAACAUGAGUUUAAGAAGACAAAAGCUAGAAAAAUACAAACAAAAAGACAGU